UGAGAGGAGUAGCCCGGAGAUGGGUACUGAGACACGGACCCAGGCCCUAUGGGGCGCAGCAGGCGAGAAAACUUUGCUCAUGUGCGAAAGCACGACAAGGUUAAUCCGAGUGGUUUGUGCUAAACGCACCUCUUGUCAGUCCUAGAAACACUGAUGAAUAAGGGGUGGGCAAGUUCUGGUGUCAGCCGCCGCGGUCAAACCAGCACCUCAAGUGGUCAGGAUGAUUAUUGGGCCUAAAGCAUCCGUAGCCGGCUCUGUAAGUUUUCGGUUAAAUCUGUACGCUCAACGUACAGGCUGCCGGGAAUACUGCAGAGCUAGGGAGUGGGAGAGGUAGACGGUACUCGGUAGGAAGGGGUAAAAUCCUUUGAUCUAUUGAUGACCACCUGUGGCGAAGGCGGUCUACCAGAACACGUCCGACGGUGAGGGAUGAAAGCUGGGGGAGCAAACCGGAUUAGAUACCCGGGUAGUCCCAGCUGUAAACUAUGCAAACUCAGUGAUGCAUUGACUUGUGGUCAAUGCAGUGCUGCAGGGAAGCCGUUAAGUUUGCCGAAUCUUCAAGGUGAAUGCAUUUGAUCUUAGUGGUUCCAAUUGCAAGUGCCUGCCACGGUCAGCCCGUUCAUGUUUGCUUGCCUCGUCUACGUACGUACGCUAGUAUGACACUUAAAGCCAUUGGCGGGGGAGCACCACAAGGGGUGAAGCCUGCGGUUCAAUUGGAGUCAACGCCAGACAUCUUACCCGGAGAGACAGCAGAAUGAAGGUCAAGCUGAAGACUUUACCAGACAAGCUGAGAGGUGGCUGCAUGGCCGUCGCCAGCUCGCGCCGUGAGAUGUCCUGUUAAGUCAGGUAACGAGCGAGAUCCCUGCCUCUAGUUGCCACCAUUACUCUCAGGAGUAGUGGGGCGAAUUAGCGGGACCGCCGCAGUUAAUGCGGAGGAAGGAAGGGGCCACGGCAGGUCAGUAUGCCCCGAAACUCUGGGGCCACACGCGGGCUGCAAUGGUAACGACAAUGGGUUUCAAAUCCGAAAGGAUGAGGUAAUCCUCAAACGUUACCACAGUUAUGACUGAGGGCUGCAACUCGUCCCUCACGAAUAUGGAAUCCCUAGUAACUGUCGUUGUUCAUUAUCGUCGUCGUGUUGACAUACGUUCCCUGUCUCCUUGUCACACACCGUCCCGUUCGUUUUCAUUGUAAGUGUAGUCUCCUAGUCGUAGUGUGCACGUUCUGUAUUGUGUCGUUAUCGUAACUUGG
rnacentral:rRNA from 1 species